rnacentral:rRNA from 1 species
CCUGCGGAAGGAUCAUUACCGAGUGAGGGCCCUCUGGGUCCAACCUCCCACCCGUGUCUAUCGUACCUUGUUGCUUCGGCGGGCCCGCCGUUUCGACGGCCGCCGGGGAGGCCUUGCGCCCCCGGGCCCGCGCCCGCCGAAGACCCCAACAUGAACGCUGUUCUGAAAGUAUGCAGUCUGAGUUGAUUAUCGUAAUCAGUUAAAACUUUCAACAACGGAUCUCUUGGUUCCGGCAUCGAUGAAGAACGCAGCGAAAUGCGAUAAGUAAUGUGAAUUGCAGAAUUCAGUGAAUCAUCGAGUCUUUGAACGCACAUUGCGCCCCCUGGUAUUCCGGGGGGCAUGCCUGUCCGAGCGUCAUUGCUGCCCUCAAGCACGGCUUGUGUGUUGGGCCCCCGUCCCCCUCUCCCGGGGGACGGGCCCGAAAGGCAGCGGCGGCACCGCGUCCGGUCCUCGAGCGUAUGGGGCUUUGUCACCUGCUCUGUAGGCCCGGCCGGCGCCAGCCGACACCCAACUUUAUUUUUCUAAGGUUGACCUCGGAUCAGGUAGGGAUACCCGCUGAACUUAAGCAUAUCA